AAAUAAAUUAGGCGGCUUUUUAUUACCCUCUUUUAAUUUAAAGUCCAUCGUGAACUUUAUGAACAAAAUAGCCACAACGCCGUUAAUUGCCAUUAUUUACAGUUUCCAUCCCGUCACAACGUUACCGAUAACACUAGCGUAACAUUGCACGUCAUUAGCGUUAACCG
rnacentral:misc_RNA from 1 species